AGAGUUUGAUCCUGGCUCAGAACGAACGCUGGUGGCGUGUUUUAUACAUGCAAGUCGAGCGAGGACAGUAGCUUGCUACUGAGCCGAGCGGCGAACGGGUGAGUAACGCGUAAGCAAUCUGCCCCACAAUCGGGAACAACCGUGCCAACGCGCGGCUAAUGCCGGAUAUUGUGUCCUACUGCAUAGUAGGUUAACGAAAGAUUUAUCGUUGUGGGAUGAGCUUGCGUCCGAUUAGCUAGUUGGCGGGGUAAUAGCCCACCAAGGCGACGAUCGGUAGCCGGCCUGAGAGGGUGAUCGGCCACAUUGGGACUGAGAUACGGCCCAGACUCCUACGGGAGGCAGCAGUAGGGAAUAUUGCGCAAUGGGGGGAACCCUGACGCAGCAACGCCACGUGUGGGAAGAAGCAUUUCGGUGUGUAAACCACUGUCGGAAAGGAAUAACGGAAGACUUCGGUCUUUAUGAAUGUACUUUUAGAGGAAGCACCGGCAAACUUCGUGCCAGCAGCCGCGGUAAUACGAGGGGUGCAAGCGUUGUUCGGAAUCACUGGGCGUAAAGGGAGCGUAGGCGGAAGUGCAAGCAAUCUGUAUAAUCCUGGGGCCCAACCCCAGUUCUGCAGAUUGGACUGUAUUUCUUGAAUAGUUCAGAGGCAAGCGGAAUUUCUGGUGUAGCGGUGGAAUGCGUAGAGAUCAGAAAGAACACCAAUGGCGAAGGCAGCUUGCUGGGGACUUAUUGACGCUGAGGCUCGAAAGUGUGGGUAGCAAACAGGAUUAGAUACCCUGGUAGUCCACACUGUAAACGAUGCAUACUGGGUGUCCGAAAUUCGUUUCGGGUACCGUAGCUAACGCGUUAAGUAUGCCGCCUGGGGAGUACGUACGCAAGUAUGAAACUCAAAGGAAUUGACGGGGGCCCGCACAAGCGGUGGAGCAUGUGGUUUAAUUCGAAGCAACGCGCAGAACCUUACCAGGGUUUGACAUGGAAUCGCCGCAGCGAGAGAUCGCUGUUUAGUAGCAAUACUACGGUUCACACAGGUGCUGCAUGGCUGUCGUCAGCUCGUGUCGUGAGAUGUUGGGUUAAGUCCCGCAACGAGCGCAACCCACGUUUCUAGUUGCUACCCGCAAGGGAGCUCUCUAGAGAGACUGCCGGGGACAACCCGGAGGAAGGUGUGGAUGACGUCAAGUCCUCAUGGCCCUUACAUCC
rnacentral:rRNA from 1 species